rnacentral:rRNA from 1 species
UGGUACUGCGGAGACAUUACUGAUUUGCUUAAUUGCACCACAUGUGUUUUUUAUUGAACAAAUUUCUUUGGUGGCGGGAGCAAUCCUACCGCCAGAGGUUAUAACUAAACCAAACUUUUUAUUUACAGUCAAACUUGAUUUAUUAUUACAAUAGUCAAAACUUUCAACAACGGAUCUCUUGGUUCUCGCAUCGAUGAAGAACGCAGCGAAAUGCGAUACGUAAUAUGAAUUGCAGAUAUUCGUGAAUCAUCGAAUCUUUGAACGCACAUUGCGCCCUUUGGUAUUCCAAAGGGCAUGCCUGUUUGAGCGUCAUUUCUCCCUCAAACCCCCGGGUUUGGUGUUGAGCAAUACGCUAGGUUUGUUUGAAAGAAUUUAACGUGGAAACUUAUUUUAAGCGACUUAGGUUUAUCCAAAAACGCUUAUUUUGCUAGUGGCCACCACAAUUUAUUUCAUAACUUUGACCUCAAAUCAGGUAGGACUACCCGCUGAACUUAAGCAUAUCAAUGAGCGCGGGGGGAAAA